rnacentral:rRNA from 1 species
CACGUAGGGCGCAAGCGUUGUCCGGAAUUAUUGGGCGUAAAGAGCUCGUAGGCGGACUGUCGCGUCUGCUGUGAAAAGCUGGGGCUUAACCCUGGCCUUGCAGUGGAUACGGGCAGACUAGAGGUAGGUAGGGGAGAAUGGAAUUCCCGGUGUAGCGGUGAAAUGCGCAGAUAUCGGGAGGAACACCGGUGGCGAAGGCGGUUCUCUGGGCCUUACCUGACGCUGAGGAGCGAAAGCGUGGGGAG